rnacentral:misc_RNA from 1 species
UCCGGUUUGACACCGGCAGUCUCGCUAGAGUGCUCAGCAUUACCUGGUGGCAACUAGCGACAGGGGUUUCGCUCGUUAAGGGACUUAACCCGACACUUCACAGCACGAGCUGACGACAGCCAUGCAGCACCUGUGUAUGUUGUACUCAAAGAGCCUCACUGACGUUUCCGCCAGCUAAUCCAUACAUGUCAAGCCCAGGAUAAGGUUCUUCGCGUUGCUUCGAAUUAAGCCACAUGCUCCACCGCUUGUGUGAGCCCCCGUCAAUUUCUUUGAGUUUUAGCCUUGCGACCGUACUCCCCAGGCGGUGUACUUAACGUUUUUACUUCGACCACAAUGACGUAUUAGUCUCUGCGAUCCAGUACACAUAGUUUAGGGCGUGGACUA